GUGCAGCAGGCGCGAAAACUUUGCAAUACACGAAAGUGUGACAGGGUCAUCCCGAGUGCCGACCGCUGAGGUUGGCUUUUACCCAGUCUAGAAAGCUGGGGGAAUAAGGAGAGGGCAAGUCUGGUGUCAGCCGCCGCGGUAAUACCAGCUCUCCGAGUGGUGUGGACGUUUAUUGGGCCUAAAGCAUCCGUAGCUGGCUGAACAAGUCCCCUGUUAAACCCACCGAUUUAAUCGUUGGUCUGCGGGGGAUACUGCUCGGCUAGGGGACGAGAGAGGCAGACGGUAUUCCCGGGGUAGGGGUGAAAUCCUAUAAUCCCGAGAAGACCACCAGUGGCGAAGGCUGUCUGCUAGAACGCGCCCGACGGUGAGGGAUGAAAGCUGGGGGAGCGAACCGGAUUAGAUACCCGGGUAGUCCCAGCUGUAAACGAUGCAGACUAGGUGUUUGGACGGCCACGUGCCGUUCUAGUGCCGCAGGGAAGCUGUUAAGUCUGCCGCCUGGGGAGUACGAUCGCAAGAUUGAAACUUAAAGGAAUUGGCGGGGGAGCAC
rnacentral:rRNA from 1 species